UAGGCUAGAAUGUGAAGGAAUGAUACAGAAAUGGAGGAGUGCCUUUUUUAGGAACUAGGUCAC
rnacentral:rRNA from 1 species